CAGGAAGAGUAUGUGACCUGGAGCAGCACCAGGGCGGGGAGGAACAGAAGUGGAGGCGAAGUAAACACUCCCCGACAGCGUAGGUCUGUCCAGAACCCGCCUCCGUCUUCACCCAAACACUGAAUGGCUGAGAUUUCCACUUCCGGGUUUCUGCUGGGGAGCUAUGGCGGCUGCAGAGGGCCGAAAGGUGUCUGCGCGCAUCUGCUCCCUGGCGCCCUCUCGAGGAGCCCCUGAGGAUUCGUGCCUCCCAGAGGUGGGGAAAGCCCGCCCGAGGCGCCGGUGCUGACGGUGGCGGGGCUGCCGGGCACGCUGUGGAACUGCCUCCCGCUAGAGCUGCGGGCUGGCGACGGUCCCGUGGGGGCGGGAAGCGGCUCAGGGUGCCCUCGCCGGCCUGCGGCGGCGCGUCUGGGAGCGCAGGCCACUCGUGCGCGGGUCACUCGGGGCUGUGCCUCGCGCGACUGUGUGUGCAGGAAACAAGGAGGAAAUACCCUAAAAUGGAAUGAAGCGCCAUGUUGAGGGCCGCGGAUGUCGCGAGUGCUGUGGGAAUGUGGGCUGAGGUGGAGAGUUAUGGUGGAGGAAGCUAGUCCUGUCUGAUGGAGGAAACAGGGCAGAGGCGUGGAGGGAGACGCACAGUGCUGGUGUGAGGAGCCGCGAGCAGGCCAGGCCUGUAAAGCAGCGUGAUGGGAACCAGGAUAGAGAAGGCAAGUCGGGGUCCUGUGGUCGCUGAAGAAUUUGAAUGAAAUCAGUAAACAGGUGAGAGGGAUCCAUCGCAAGAGCAUGGGAUGAAACGAGCAGUAGUCCACGGUGAUUCCUCUGCAGCGAUACUGCAUAGUGGAUGGAUUAGUUUGUGGUUCCUGGGAUCUUCUGUGUAUUCUGUUGAAGCUCAAUAAUCACAUUACUGCGGACCUCCAAAAUUUUACAAAGGACUGCACAGUGAGUAUUCAGCCGAUAAACUAAACCACAGCUUAAUACUGUGAGAUGAAAUAAAGCACACCAAUUAAAAGUAAACACUGUUUAAACCUACCUCAAUGAAUUUCUAAAGUGUCAUACAUUUAUUAUAUUCUCUACUUGUAAAAUAUUUUGUUGUGUGUAUUGCCAAGUAUUUCAGGAUUUUAUGGGUAUAAUGUAUUCUAUUAAUUUAACUGGAAAACUUGUAGUUAUUCAACAAACAAACUAAAAGUGUUGGCAGAGAUGUAAUUUUAAAGCACAAUCCCACUCAUUCGUUCAGUGUUACAGCUGCUCCUUGUUUGUUUAAUAAUAGAACUGAUGAGUAGUUAAUUUGAGAGGAAAGCUGGUGCAGGUGUAGUGCUAUUUGGAUGUCAUGGAGGACACAUGUGACAUCUGCAGCUAGCUAUAUGGUAAAAGCAAAACAGAAGUUAAAAUCAGCCCUGUGUCAAAUCUGCAUAGUUUUAGGCUUCAGGGAGUGUCUCUGUAUGUUGAGGCAGGAAGUUUAGUAGAAUUCCAAGGAAGUAAGAGAGGAACAAACAUUUGUAGAUUUUGCCUUCUAUGGGGGAACUCAUUCAAUCAUCAGGAGAACUCUUCAAUAGGUUUUAUUUGCUCCGGUUUACCUAGAUGAAAAAUUGAGACCCAGAAUCCAUGCUUUUCUUUCCUGGUUACACAUUAGAAUCACCAAUGUGACAUUAAAACACACACACACACACACACACACACACACACACACACACACUGCACACCCAUUAGGAUGGCUGCUAUCAAAAAAGAAAAAACAAAAAAAUCAGGGGCCAGGCACGCUGGUUCACACCUGUAAUCCCAGCCCUUUGGGAUCACCUGAGGUCAGGAGUUUGACAGCAGCCUGGCCAACAUGGUGAAAUCUCAUCUGUACCAAAAAAUAAAAUAAAAUAAAACAAAAAACAACACACACACACACAAUUAGUCGGGCAUGGGGGCACACAUGUGUAAUCUCAGCUAAUUGAGAGGCUGAGGCACGAGAAUCGCUUGAACCUGGGAGGCGGAGGUUGCAGUGAGCCGAGAUCACGCCACUGCACUGCAGCCUGGAGACAGAAGGAGACUCGGCCUCAAAACAAAUCAAAACAAAAACACCCAGAAAAUAACAAGUGCUGACAAGGAUGUGGAAAAAUUGUAACUCUUGUGCAUUGAGGGUGGGUAUGAAAAAUAGUACAUCAGCUGUGGAAAACAUACCAUUCCUCAAAAAUUUAGACAUAGAAUUACCAUAUGAUUCAGUAAUCCCACUCACAUCUAUAAAUCUCUAUAUCUGUAUCUUUAUCUACCUAUCUCUAUCUUCAAAAGAAUGGAAAGCAGUUACUCAGAUACUUGUACACCUGUGUUCUCUCCCCACCCCCCCUUUUUUUUUUAAUAAAUGGGCUCUCACUGUGUUUCCCAGGCCGGAGUGCAGGGGCUGUUUAUAGGCACGACCCCCUGCUGCGGGGCUGUCCACCGGCAUGAACCCCUGCUGCGAGGCUGUUUAUAGGCAUGAUCCCCCUGCUGCGGAGCUGUCCACAGGCACGGACCCCUGCUGCAGGGCUGUCCACAGGCACGACCCACUGCUGCGGGGCUGUCCACAGGCACGACCCCCUGCUGCGGGGCUGUCCACAGGCAUGACCCCCUGCUGAGGGGCUGUCCACAGGCACGAUUUCCCUGCUGCGGGGCUGUCCACAGGCAGGAUCUCCCUGCUGCGGGGCUGUCCACAGGCAUGACCCCCUGCUGGUCAAACUGGGAGUUGUGCCCUGCUUUGUCUCCAAUCCAUGCCGGUUCGCCCCUCCUUAGGCAACCUGGUAGUCCCUUAUCCCAUGAGGUCACUGUACUAAUGUCUAAUUUCGUGCAGAUGUCUGAUCAACACUGCACACUGCAGCUCAGGACCCCUGGGCUCAAGUGAUCUGAGUAGCAGGAACUACAGGCGCAUGCCACCACACCUGCCUGCUACACCUGUGUUCAUUGCAGCAUUACAGCAGCCUUAUUUACAGGAACCACAAAAUGGAAACAACCUAAAAAGUCUAUUGAGGGAUAGAUGGAUAAACAAAAUGUGGUAUAGAUGUAAAAUGGAAUAUUAGUGAUCUUUGAAAAGGGAGGGAAUUCUGAUACUUGCUACCACAUAGAUAAAAACAUUAUGCUAAGUGAGACAUCAAACAAAGACUACCUGAUUCCAUCUAUAUGAAGAACCUGGAACAGGCAAAUUAAUAGAGACACAAAGUAGAAUAGAGGUUUUCAGGAAUGGCAGGAGGUGGAAAUGGGCGAGGUUAGUGUCUAAUGGGCACAGAGUUCCUAUCUGGGAUGAUAGAAUGUUUCGGAAAUGGAUAGUGGUGAUGACUGCACAGCAUUGUGAAUGUAGCUAAUGACGUUGAAUUCUUUACCAGAAAACAAAAACAAAAACAGAAACACAUUGCUUAAGCUUCUCAGUCCGACAGGUGACGUGCUUGGUGUGAGCUGGGGCCUAAGCCCAGGCUGCCCUCGCCAGAGCUGCUUCAAGACCCCUCUUGGUUGUACUUAGGCCUGAUUGCUCUGGAGAGUCCCAUACAUGAAAGCCAGCUCUGGUUCUAUCUCUUCUCACUCCAGUCCUCCCUGCCCCCACCAUCCCCCAGCUGGGCAUUAUGAGAAAAGCAAGAUGACUAUGAGUUUUUUGAUUAUUUAUAUGACCAAAUAAUCUCAAGGACUAUUGCUAACUAACCCAUGGGACUCCCACUACCUUCAUGAGGCUCGGAUGAGGUGAAGGGUCCCUAAAAUCGUGCCAACUAGUCAGGAACUCAGUUGUCAAUAAUUUCUUUAUUUGUGAUACAAGCAGGCGUGGGGAAAGAGAAAUGAACAGACUUGGAAGCUUCUCCGAGGCCCUAGAGAAGACCUCUGGGUUCCGAACACCAGACACCAGGAGUAAGGAGGGUAGUUGAUGAUUUCCCACUCUUUCUCCAGCCCCUGCUCCUCUGUUUCUCCCCUUCACCCACUGCAGCUUCCUCAGGUCCUGGGUCCCGCGCCAUCAUCUCUUCGAAUGACCUCCCUUCUAUUCCUGUUAAUAAAGGAGCAUCAGCUAAGUGAAUAUGGUGAUUUGCAUACACUUACAUUGAUUCAGAAAUUGUGUUUAAUUCCACACAAGAAAAAGAAUGUGGAUCUUUUUCACUGGGAAAAAAAGUCGCCAUGUAUCAUCUUAAUCAUGUUUUCCUGGGAUAUAAUCUAUACGUGACGCCCAUUUAAGCCUUCAUUGCAUCUAUGCACGUGGUUUGCUUUCCUCUUGUGUGAAAUAGUGUUGGACCACACGGGUUUGGGCCACAGCCCAGGAAGACACAAUCCUGAACGUCAUAAUCCCAAAUGUUGAAGUCCCAUAAGAUCUAAAUCUGUACAGUCUAAAAUCCUGAAAAUUACAAUCCUAAAAAAACAAAAUUCUCAAAAUACAAUUCUGGAAAAAAAUUAUUAACACAUUCUUUAAGAAGCAUUUAUUGGGCAGCACAUGGUGGCUCAUGCCUUUAAUCCCAGCACCUUUGGAGGCCGAGGCGGGUGGAUCACAAAGUCAGGAGAUGGAGACCAUCCUGGCUAACACGGUGAAACCCCAUCUUUACUAAAAAUACAAAAAAUUAGCCAGGCAUCAUGACGGGUGCCAGUAGUCCCAGCUACUCGGGAGGCUGAGGCAGGAGAAUCGCUUGGACCCAGGAGGUGGAGGUUACAGUGAGCCGCAAUCGCACCACUGCACUCCAGCCUGGGCGACAGAGUGAGACUCUGUCUAACAACAAAAACAAAAAACAUUUAUUUAUAUUUUUAAGAUGGAAUUUAUUUGAGAAACUUAUAAAAACACAACAGAACCCUUCCUAGGCCACUUUACACAAUCAAUAGGCAAUAAUAACAUGCAUAUAUUUGCAAGCGUAAAACUCAGGUAUGCUAACGAUAGUCUCACGGGUAUAAUGGUAAUGAGCAGAUGAGUUGUAUUUGUAAAGAAAUGGGUCAAAAAGCAAAAUGUAUAAAAGCGUGGUUGGUAACUGGGUGAACUCAGCUUUAUAACUUAGGUCAUCUGGAAUACUGUGACAGACAACCUAAGUCUUUUGACCAGAUUCAUCAAAAGCUGGGAUGGGUCACCAUGUAAUAUUCAGUCAAAGAGCUGAGAUCCUAAGGAAUUUUCUCUUUCCCAAAUGCAAAUGUGCAAAAGGAUAUCUUCUCAUUUAUUGAGGAAAUUUUAAUGUUUUUAUGUACAUGUACAAUGCUUACACACAAAGUCAGUGUUGUGAUAAUACACUGUUGUGGAGUCAAAUUUGCAAAAAAAAAAAAAAAAUGCAUAAAACAAAUUAGAACUCUCUAAAAGUCUUUGCAAAAUUUAUACCUCCAGUAUUGGAAAUGAUACUAAGAUGAAAUACAUAGCAUAGCAAGUUGUAAAAAA
rnacentral:lncRNA from 1 species